AAAUUUAGAAGACAUGCUAACUAUGUCACUUAUUAAAUAACUUGUUUAACAAGUGUGCAAAAUUACUCCUGAUGAUAGCGGAUUUGCAGCUCAUAAUUUAACAAUUUUAAAUAUAAAAUCAAAAACUUUGUGUCAAGCCGCUGAAACAACAAUAUGAUGUUGGUUAAGUAAUAUAAGGACUGAUGAAAAAGGGUGCACACACACACACAAACAGUAAACUUGAGGUCCCAACUCUAAGCACAUUAUGAGCACUCAGUUGGAGCGCAGUCAUUUGUUAGUAAAAAAUUUUGUAGGAAUGCAGUUACACGCUGCAGGAGCUGAGUAGAAAUCCCUUGGUCAACUGUCACAUUUUCACCUUGUAAAAAUUUAAAAUACAACUGUACAAUGUUUUUGAAUUUCCCCGCAAACCCACAGCAAUUUCAGAAAUAUAACAGUAUCGUGAAACUCUGGGGGAAUGCAAUCUGGUGUGACAGGACCUAAGCUUUGAGAAAACAAUCAGGUUACCAGAAAUUUGCAAUUGUCAAAUUCUUUGAGCUGGAUGAUAGUAACAAACAUUAUUAGGAUGUAAAAUUUGAAUUACAGUUCUCAUAUGAAAUGCAAUCAUUAUAUUAAUAUACAUGUAAAUCAUAUCUUACACUAGCUAACAAUUACCCCCUCCCCCUUCCUAAUAAAAAUCACAACAUACACGAGCUAUAAUUCAAUAGUGUACUCGUAGUUUUGAUAAAUCUACAAAUCUACCUCAGGUAUUAAGUAGGAUAUUUUAGGUAAAAAAAACCAACUCACUUUUUGGCUUUCUUGGAGUACCUCAUGUUUAUCAACUAGAAAAUAUCUAAUAUCAAAAUACUCCAGUGUAUUCUGUAAAUAACUUCUCAGCAUGCAUGGUCAAUAAAAAUGUCAUGACCUAAAGCCCAUAUUCCUCUGCUUCAUUUGGUUUGCUAAUGUCACCGCCGACCAUUUCAAGCUGAGUAACAACUUGUUGUUACAUGCACAUGCUAAGGUCCUCUAUCAGAUGUCAAUCACUAACUGGAUGCUGGUAAGAUGUUCGGGGUGUGCUAAUAAUAGUAACUGUGUGAAAUUUGAGAGCUUUCAACAGCAGAUCACUGCUUUAGGAACAGAUGCAAAAUGUGGUCGCAAAUUUAAUUUAAGAUCAACGCUGCAUGUGUACUUUAUGAAGCAGAACAGAAAUAUUGUUUGGAAAUUGCAGCAGUUGCAAACUUUGCAGGAUGCAUGCAUCAAGGUAAUGAUGAUUGGCAGUGACAAAAUAUUUUGCCUGGUGGAUUUUGAUUUGAAAUCACUGCAUCUGAAUUGUUUGCUGGUCUAGAGGAUGGGGAGCAUUAAUUUGGACAGAGCUUGAUCGGGAUGGAAGAUGCUUGAAGAUUAAGAUUCUAUAGAAGAUCUGGACAUCCCCCCUGGGAGGAAAUCAAUGAGGCCACAGAAAAGUUCAAAAGCCAUCCAGCCAGUCACACAGUAUGAACAGAAGAUAAACAGAACAGAUGAUAAACCUUGAUUCAUGUCAACCAUGUAUCAAAGACUGAAUUAAGUGAAAGUGCUUUCUGGAAAAUGCAGCUCUACUUGGGAACUCCAUCCUGAAUUUGAUGGAUGCGAGCUUUAUGUUUUUAGUAAUUAUAAAAUCAUAUGCACUGAGACAAUUAUUAAUAUAGUUAAAUUUUUAAUUAUAUAAACAUCUAAUCCAAUUACAAACUAAACUUGAUAUUUAAUAAAAAAAGAAAUA